AUGGAGAAAAAUUUGUCGCUGACCGAAGAGUAUUCCACUCUGAAGUCACAGAUGGAUGAUCUGACAAAUCCUCAUGAUUUUCUCUCAGCAGACCACGAAAGAUUGACCUAUGAUUACCUGAAAAGGAAACAGGAACUCAAGGCGCUAAGAGAGGCUCAUGAGGAUUUGGUCAGAGAAAAUUCUCUUCUCACCCAACAACUUAAAGAAAAACCCGAAGUGUUUGAGCCACCAUGUUUAAAAUGCCUUGAACGAACCAAUGUAGAAUCAAAUGUUGAAUCAUCUGUGAAUGCUAACCCCUCGGUCGAGGAAAAUGGUUCUGUUUCUGAUGAAAAUGCUAGGUUGAAGGAUCUUCUUCAAAUAGGAAUGUUCAAAUCUCUCAAAGGGCAUCAAACCCUUUGUGAUGUUUUGAAGAAAUCCAUUCUUCACAAAAAAUCCCAGGAAAGAAGGCAUCAGUUUUGA
rnacentral:rRNA from 1 species